rnacentral:tRNA from 1 species
GGGAAUGUGGCUUAGUGGUAAAGUACUUGCUUAGCAUACAUGAAGCCCUGGGUUCGAUCCUCAGUAUCA